rnacentral:rRNA from 1 species
GAUGAACGCUGGCGGCGUGCCUAAUACAUGCCAGUCGAGCGAACAGACGAGGAGCUUGCUCCUCUGACGUUAGCGGCGGACGGGUGAGUAACACGUGGAUAACCUACCUAUAAGACUGGGAUAACUUCGGGAAACCGGAGCUAAUACCGGAUAAUAUAUUGAACCGCAUGGUUCAAUAGUGAAAGACGGUUUUGCUGUCACUUAUAGAUGGAUCCGCGCCGCAUUAGCUAGUUGGUAAGGUAACGGCUUACCAAGGCAACGAUGCGUAGCCGACCUGAGAGGGUGAUCGGCCACACUGGAACUGAGACACGGUCCAGACUCCUACGGGAGGCAGCAGUAGGGAAUCUUCCGCAAUGGGCGAAAGCCUGACGGAGCAACGCCGCGUGAGUGAUGAAGGUCUUCGGAUCGUAAAACUCUGUUAUUAGGGAAGAACAAAUGUGUAAGUAACAAUGCACGUCUUGACGGUACCUAAUCAGAAAGCCACGGCUAACUACGUG